rnacentral:rRNA from 1 species
GUGCGCGCGAGUCGCGGGGUGUCGAGCGUGCCGGGUUCGCGCCCGGUGCGUUCGUUACGCAACGAAACCCGUAUACGUAGAAGGCGCAAUGAAAGUGAACGGGGAAGAUGGCGUUACCGAGUACACGUUCCACGGUCACUGGUACCGAGGCCGGUCGCCCGCAUUCCCGGGGCGUCCCAACGGCCCGUCCAUGAUGCGGACGGUCGUCGCGAGACGGCCGUCGGUCGCCGGACGAACCGGGGCGCACCUAUAGCGUGCACGUUGGUACCCGAAAGAUGGUGAACUAUGCCCGGCCAGGAUGAAGUCAGGGGAAACCCUGAUGGAGGUCCGCAGCGAUUCUGACGUGCAAAUCGAUCGUCUGAGC